UCCGUCCUACGGAAGGCAGCAGUGGGGAAUAUUGGACAAUGGGGGAGACCCUGAUCCAGCGACGCCGCGUGAGUGAAGAAGUAUUUCGGUACGUAAAGCUCUAUCAGCAGGAAAGAAAAUGACGGUACCUGACUAAGAAGCCCCGGCUAACUACGUGCCAGCAGCCGCGGUAAUACGUAGGGGGCAAGCGUUAUCCGGAUUUACUGGGUGUAAAGGGAGCGUAGGCGGCGAUGCAAGUCAGAAGUGAAAGCCCGGGGCUCAACU
rnacentral:rRNA from 1 species